rnacentral:rRNA from 1 species
UACGGGAGGCAGCAGUGGGGAAUAUUGCACAAUGGGCGAAAGCCUGAUGCAGCUAUGCCGCGUGUAUGAAGAAGGCCUUAGGGUUGUAAAGUACUUUCAUCGGGGAGGAAAAAACAAAACUAAUAAUUUUAUUUCUUGACGUUACCCGAAAAAGAAGCACCGGCUAACUCCGUGCCAGCAGCCGCGGUAAUACGGAGGGUGCUAGCGUUAAUCAGAAUUACUGGGCGUAAAGAGCACGUAGGUGGUUUUUUUAAAGUCAGAUGUGAAAUCCCUGGGCUUAACCUAGGAACUGCAUUUUGAAACUGAAAUACUAGAGUAUCGUAGAGGGAGGUAGAAUUCUAGGUGUAGCGGUUGAAAUGCGUAGAUAUCUGGAGGAAUACCUGUGGCGAAAGCGGCCUCCUAAACGAAUACUGACACUGAGGGUGCGAAAGCGUGGGGAGCAAACAGGGAUUAGAUACC